rnacentral:rRNA from 1 species
UACGUAGGGUGCAAGCGUUGUCCGGAAUUAUUGGGCGUAAAGAGCUCGUAGGCGGUCUGUUGCGUCCGCUGUGAAAACCCGGGGCUUAACCCCUGGCCUGCAUCCGAUACUGCCCGACUAGAGGUAGGUAGGGGAGAUCGGAAUUCCUGGUGUAGCGGUGAAAUGCGCAGAUAUCAGGAGGAACACCGGUGGCGAAGGCGGAUCUCUGGGCCUUACCUGACGCUGAGGCGCGAAAGCUAGGGGAGCAAACAGG